rnacentral:rRNA from 1 species
UACGUAGGGUGCGAGCGUUAAUCGGAAUUACUGGGCGUAAAGCGUGCGCAGGCGGUUCGUUGUGUCGGCGGGGAAAGCCCCGGGCUCAACCUGGGAAUGGCCGUUGAAACUGGCGAGCUAGAGUGUGGCAGAGGGGGGUGGAAUUCCGCGUGUAGCAGUGAAAUGCGUAGAUAUGUGGAGGAAUACCGAUGGCGAAGGCAGCCCCCUGGGAUAACACUGACGCUCAUGCACGAAAGCGUGGGGAGCAAACAGG